CAGAUUUUCCUGCAUGGGCUGGCUCUGAACCCCCUUUCUUAGAUCUCAGCCUCCUGAGUGGCUAGGGUGACCGUUGUGAGCCACCCACACUCACAUCUCCUCGUUUCUGAUGGGCGUGUUUCUCUGUCUUGACUGUCCUGCUAACCCACGUCUGCCCUUCUCGUGGCAUCUCUCCAUUGCUAUCGAAGAGGUGCCUGGUCGUCACCUCGUUCACCCUUGCAUUCCCAGGAGGUCUUAAAACAGUGUCCACUGCUGGGCCGUUUGUCUUCUUUAUUGUCUCGUUGACCCCUCCACUUACAUGUUUUUUUUAAUCACUAAGGGCUGUAAGUGGUCUACUGCAUCCAGUCUACCCUAGUCCUACCUGUCCACUCCACAAUUAGAACCGCUCCCUCAAGUAUAUCCUUGAGCAGCCAUACUGCAUAACAUCUUGAAAUGGUUUCUGCAGAAGCUCCAGCCUCCCAUGCUCUGAGAUCUUCACCUCCACCCCUUCAGCCUCCUUUUUUGCUCUACAGGAGACUGGUUCCAUCCUUUCUAGAUUCUCAGCUUUAUGAAUCUUCCUAGUCCUUUCCAUCUUAGGGCCUACAAGGCUUCCUGUCUCCAAACUGUUGCGGUCUCCUUCUUUAGCCCUUACUUUUCCACUGAAGCGCUUGUUUUUCUCAGUGAAACACAGUUUCCUUAGGAACAUGUUUGCAACUUCCUGGCUUUCUCUGGUAUGCUCUUGUGAAAUGUUAACUUUUUAUUUAUCACAAAUUUGCCAUGUUAUCAUAAAUGUUCUUUCUGCUAGAAUGUAAGCUCUGUGAGAGCGAAGGCCUUCUGUUUACCCUGAAUAAAUGGAGAAAUGAAAAAUCCAUGUAACAAUGUCUCCAGGGCGUGUAGUUUUAAAAUCAGGUGAUUGAUUUUUGUGACGAGUGCAUUUGCCAAGUGUUUUCAUAAUAAAAUGAACAUUUCCGACA